rnacentral:rRNA from 1 species
AUUGAACGCUGGCGGCAGGCCUAACACAUGCAAGUCGAGCGGUAGAGAGGUGCUUGCACCUCUUGAGAGCGGCGGACGGGUGAGUAAUGCCUAUGAAUCUGCCUGGUAGUGGGGGAUAACGUCCGGAAACGGACGCUAAUACCGCAUACGUCCUACGGGAGAAAGCAGGGGACCUUCGGGCCUUGCGCUAUCAGAUGAGCCUAGGUCGGAUUAGCUAGUUGGUGAGGUAAUGGCUCACCAAGGCGACGAUCCGUAACUGGUCUGAGAGGAUGAUCAGUCACACUGGAACUGAGACACGGUCCAGACUCCUACGGGAGGCAGCAGUGGGGAAUAUUGGACAAUGGGCGAAAGCCUGAUCCAGCCAUGCCGCGUGUGUGAAGAAGGUCUUCGGAUUGUAAAGCACUUUAAGUUGGGAGGAAGGGUUGUAGAUUAAUACUCUGCAAUUUUGACGUUACCGACAGAAUAAGCACCGGCUAACUCUGUGCCAGCAGCCGCAGUAAGAC